UCAGUCCUCGGUUUCCGACAUGUUUAUCUAGCUCGUGUGGAAAAUAGUCUUCUUCAGGUUCUGAAUGGGGUUGUGGGAGGCCAGGCGGAGGACCUCGGGGUUUUCCCGCGGUGGCUUGGACCACCCAUAUGAACGGUCGGGUAGAUUCUUCAAGUGCCUUGGCUAAUAUUGCAUACUCCUGCUUGGUCGGACCAACCUCGCUUCCGAAUGAAACGUAUAACACGGAUCCAUGUGGCUUCGUAUCUAGCCACUCAUUCACCUCGUCUUCGGUGAAAUUUGAUUUUCGAUGGGCGCGAACUUUGCUGUCGUGAAGAAUCGAACCGGUUGAUUUCCAAUACUGCUCGGGCAAGAGCGGGCCCACUCCCCAAACAGGUUUUUGAAUCUUAUUAGAGACGUAUUCAAUAAACGGAUGCUCUAGCUCAUCACACGUGUUAAUCAUCACUCCAACGGAAUGCUCGACCUCGUCUAACCA
rnacentral:lncRNA from 1 species